AGGACGAACGCUGGCGGCAUGCCUAACACAUGCAAGUCGAACGGAGUAAUGACUUCGGUUAUUACUUAGUGGCGAACGGGUGAGUAACACGUGAAUAAUCUGCCCUGUACGAUGGGAUAACAGCUGGAAACGGCUGCUAAUACCGUAUAUGACCACGCCGAGGCAUCUCGGAGGGGUGAAAGCGCUUAAGCGGUACAGGAUGAGUUCGCGUCCAAUUAGCUAGUUGGUGAGGUAACGGCCCACCCAAGGCGACGAUUGGUAGCCGACCUGAGAGGGUGAUCGGCCACACUGGAACUGAGACACGGUCCAGACUCCUACGGGAGGCAGCAGUGGGGAAUAUUGGGCAAUGGAGGAAACUUCCUUACCCAGCAAUGCCGCGUGAGUGAUGAAGGUCUUCGGAUUGUAAAGCUCUUUGAUUGGGGACGAAUAAAUGACGGUACCCAAGGAACAAGCCCCGGCUAACUAUGUGCCAGCCGCCGC
rnacentral:rRNA from 1 species